ensembl:miRNA
UCCCGGGACCCGGGCAGAGGGCGCACGCUGUGCCUAUGCGGUACACAGCUCUCCCCCGGGGAGCCCGGCGGU